CGAAUACGAUGAUUCCUGUUAAGUUAUAUACG
rnacentral:tRNA from 1 species